GACGAACGCUGGCGGCGUGCUUAACACAUGCAAGUCGAACGGAAAGGCCCUGCUUUUGUGGGGUGCUCUAGUGGCGAACGGGUGAGUAACACGUGAGUAACCUGCCCUUGACUUUGGGAUAACUUCAGGAAACUUGGGCUAAUACCGGAUAGGAGCUCCUGCUGCAUGGUGGGGGUUGGAAAGUUUCGGCGGUUGGGGAUUGACUCGCGGCUUAUCAGCUUGUUUGUGGGGUAGUGGCUUACCAAGUCUUUGACGGGUAGCCGGCCUGCGAGCGGGAACGGCCACAAGGGGACUAAGGUACGGCCCAGACGCCUACGGGAGGCAGCAGUGGGAAACAUUACACAAUGGGCGGAAGCCAGAGACAACAACGCCGCGUGCGGGAUAACGGCCUUCGGGUGGAAAACCGCUGUCGCCUGUGACGAAGCGUUAGUGACGGUAAUGGGUAAAGAAGCACCGGCUAACUACGUG
rnacentral:rRNA from 1 species